GAUGAACGCUGGCGGCGUGCUUCACACAUGCAAGUCGAACGAUGAAGUCAAGCUUGCUGGGUGGAUUAGUGGCGAACGGGUGAGUAAUGCGUGAGUAACCCCCCCUUGACUCUGGGAUAAGCCUGGAACACUUGGUCUAAUCCUGGAUAUGCCUUCUCAUCAUACUGUUGUGGCUGGCUAGAUUUCCUGGGCUUGGAUGGACUCGCGUCCUAUCAGCUUGUUGGUGAGGUAAUGGCUCACCAAAGCGACGGAGGAUAGCCGGCCUGAGAGGGAGGCCGGCCACACAGGGACUGAGAGACGCACCAGACGCCUACGUGAGGCAGCAGGGGGGAAGGUUGCACGAGGGGCGCAAGCCUGAUGCAGCGACGCCGCGUGAGGGAAGACGUCCUUCGGGUGGGGAGCCUCGUUCAGUAAGUAAGAAGCGAGCGUGACGGUACCUGCAGAAGAAGCGCCGGCUAACUACGUG
rnacentral:rRNA from 1 species